rnacentral:rRNA from 1 species
UACGGGGGGAGCAAGCGUUGUUCGGAUUUACUGGGCGUAAAGGGCGCGUAGGCGGCCUCCGCAAGUCAGUUGUGAAAUCUCCGAGCUUAACUCGGAAAGGUCAACUGAUACUGCGGGGCUAGAGUGCGGAAGGGGCAACUGGAAUUCUUGGUGUAGCGGUGAAAUGCGUAGAUAUCAGGAGGAACACCAAUGGCGAAGGCAGCUCGCUGGAACGGUACUGACGCUGAGGCGCGAAAGCGUGGGGAGCAAACAGG